rnacentral:RNase_P_RNA from 1 species
AAGUCAGGGCAGUUCGGUUUUUUGUAGAUAAGAAAGUAUAACUUUCUUAUCAUGCAUAAGUGCAACUAAGGCUUUCGCCAGGCUUGGCGAUAAGCCAAGAGUUUUCUUUACUGAACUGACGGCGCAAGGAACACCUACGUUCUUACAAAGAAUAGGGUUAUCCUUCUGAAAGUGCCACAGUGACGAAGUCUUCGCGGAAACGCGGAGAGUGGAACGCGGUAAACCCCUCGAGCGAGUAACCCAAAUGAUGGUAGGGGCAUUUUCCCUGUUGGAAACGACGGGGAGAGGCGAUUGAUUCGCAGAUAGAUGAUUGCCGUCGCUUUGCAAGGUUAACAGCCGGAGCACAGCGAUACAGAACAUGGCUUACAGAA